UGGCAUGACUUCAGUCCAACAUAUGGUAUCUUGAUCGCGGUAUGUCUCUGAGCAUUUUUCGAAGGGUGAUUUCUAUAUGAUGUGCAUGGUCCUAUGGUCCAUUUGAUAGCAUAGGAAUGACAUUGUGUGGAAUGAUUGUCAAGUGCCUGUCCAAUCAUGUGUUCAUAUUGCUCGCACUUUUUUGCAUAAUUGGCAAGUAGCUUAGGUUAGAGGUACAACUAGAUCUACUAUUGCUGCUUCUUCAUGUUAGAUGCCUCGGAGAUAAUUUAGGCCUUCAUUAAGAUAUUUGAAGCGCAACUGUGAUGCUGCUGUGCUUCGAAGUAAAGAUUAUUUGGGAGUUGGAUGGGUUAUUAGAGAUGCUUCUAGUUCUAUGUUGCAUGUGUG
rnacentral:misc_RNA from 1 species